UACGAAGGGAGCUAGCGUUGCUCGGAUUUACUGGGCGUAAAGCGCGUGUAGGCGGUUUGAUAAGUUAGGCGUGAAAGCCCAGGGCUUAACCCUGGAAUUGCGCUUAAUACUGUCAAGCUAGAGUAUGGUAGAGGGUGGUGGAAUUCCCAGUGUAGAGGUGAAAUUCGUAGAUAUUGGGAGGAACACCGAUGGCGAAAGCAGCCACCUGGGCCAUAACUGACGCUAAGACGCGAAAGCGUGGGGAUCAAACAGG
rnacentral:rRNA from 1 species